AAUCAAAAUAAGUAAACUAACGUCCAAUUUGAAAGAAAGAAAAGAAGAAAAAAAUCGCCCCACUCCCUUUCCCACGUUGAAACCGUCCAUCUCUCCCAUGAUCUCUCCCAAUUCCCUAAAUCUCUCCAUAUCAAUUAACCACCCCCCUCUCUACAAUACUCGUUCACAAUCAUUCUUCCCUAUUUUCAUUCCUCUGCAGCGACUCACAAGAACAAAGCAACUCUCACUCAAUAGAGUACAAGCCGCAACUCAAAGAUCGAAUUCGAACUCAAGCCGCUUGCAAGGACAAAACUACCUUUCUCUCCAUUCCAAUCUAGCCGAGUUCAAGAAACUGAAAAAUUAAGAGAAGAGAAAACGGAAGCAGAAAUCUCUUUUGUUCGAGCCUUUUCGUUCCCAAUCUGCAAAGGUGAAUCAUCGCAAGGGAAUCGUGAUUGCAAAGGAAAGAACGUAAUUUCAAAUUAAGCACUCGAGGUUGAGCGGCGACGAGCAGUUGGUGGUGUUGAGCAGUUUAAAAUUGAAGCAUGGUUGGUUAGUUGUGAACUACGAGUGUCGUUGUGUCUCCACACAUGACGUCACUCUUUCUCUUGAACGCUUCCGCUGAGACAUUGUCUUUACUCACCAUUCUUUUAGCGUUGAACCUAAUUAUUUGGAUAACGUCGACCUCUUGGCCCUUUGUUGUUAAAUAUUAAUUAUUGGUCAAACUCUUUAUUAAAA